rnacentral:rRNA from 1 species
AGGUUAAGCUGACGAGUGGCGAACGGGUGAGUAAUGUAUCGGAACGUGCCCAGUCGUGGGGGAUAACUGCUCGAAAGAGCAGCUAAUACCGCAUACGACCUGAGGGUGAAAGCGGGGGAUCGCAAGACCUCGCGCGAUUGGAGCGGCCGAUAUCAGAUUAGGUAGUUGGUGAGGUAAAGGCUCACCAAGCCGACGAUCUGUAGCUGGUCUGAGAGGACGACCAGCCACACUGGGACUGAGACACGGCCCAGACUCCUACGGGAGGCAGCAGUGGGGAAUUUUGGACAAUGGGCGCAAGCCUGAUCCAGCCAUGCCGCGUGCGGGAAGAAGGCCUUCGGGUUGUAAACCGCUUUUGUCAGGGAAGAAAAGGUUCUGGCUAAUACCUGGGACUCAUGACGGUACCUGAAGAAUAAGCACCGGCUAACUACGUGCCAGCAGCCGCGGUAAUACGUAGGGUGCAAGCGUUAAUCGGAAUUACUGGGCGUAAAGCGUGCGCAGGCGGUUAUGCAAGACAGAGGUGAAAUCCCCGGGCUCAACCUGGGAACUGCCUUUGUGACUGCAUGGCUAGAGUACGGUAGAGGGGGAUGGAAUUCCGCGUGUAGCAGUGAAAUGCGUAGAUAUGCGGAGGAACACCGAUGGCGAAGGCAAUCCCCUGGACCUGUACUGACGCUCAUGCACGAAAGCGUGGGGAGCAAACAGGAUUAGAUACCCUG